UGGGGAAUAUUGGACAAUGGGCGCAAGCCUGAUCCAGCAAUGCCGCGUGGGUGAAGACGGCCUGCGGGUUGUAAAGCCCUUUAGGUGGGGAAGAACGAGGUCUGGUUAAUAGCCAGGCAUUAUGACAUUACCCACGGAAUAAGCACCGGCUAACUCCGUGCCAGCAGCCGCGGUAAUACGGAGGGUGCGAGCGUUAAUCGGAAUGACUGGGCGUAAAGCGUGCGUAGGUGGUAGCGUUAGUCGGCCGUGAAAGCCCUGGGCUUAACCUGGGAAUGGCGGUUGAAACGGCGCAACUUGAGUGGGUUAGAGGACUGUGGAACUCCUGGUGUAGCGGUGAAAUGCGUAGAGAUCAGGAAGAACACCGAUGGCGAAGGCAGCGGUCUGGGGCCACACUGACACUGAGGCACGAAAGCGUGGGGAGCAAACAGG
rnacentral:rRNA from 1 species